GUAAAGCACUUUCAGUAGGGAGGAAGGUAGUGUAGUUAACACCUGCACUAUUUGACGUUACCUACAGAAGAAGCACCGGCUAACUCCGUGCCAGCAGCCGCGGUAAAUACGGAGGGUGCGAGCGUUAAUCGGAAUUACUGGGCGUAAAGCGCAUGCAGGCGGCCUGUUAAGUCAGAUGUGAAAGCCCGGGGCUUAACCUCGGAAUUGCAUUUGAAACUGGCAGGCUAGAGUCUUGUAGAGGGGGUAGAAUUUCAGGUGUAGCGGUGAAAAUGCGUAGAGAUCUGAAGGAAUACCAGUGGCGAAGGCGGCCCCCUGGACAAAGACUGACGCUCAGAUGCGAAAGCGUGGGGAGCAAACAGGAUUAGAUACCCCUGGUAG
rnacentral:rRNA from 1 species